UCGCGAAUCAUCGGCAAUGCGCGAAAGCGUGACCGUGCGACGCCGCGUGGGCGAUGAAGGCCUUCGGGUUGUAAAGCCCUGUCAGGGGUGAAGAAUGGCAUGGGUCCGCCCAUGUUUGACGUUAGCCCCAAAGGAAGUCACGGCUAACUCCGUGCCAGCAGCCGCGGUAAGACGGAGGUGGCAAACGUCGCUCGGAAUUACUGGGCUUAAAGGGCGUGUAGGCGGUCGAUUAAGUCGGGUGUGAAAAACCUCGGCCCAACCGAGGAAUUGCAUUCGAUACUGAUCGGCUAGAGUGCGAGAGGGGCAAGUGGAACUCCAGGUGUAGCGGUGAAAUGCGUAGAUAUCUGGAGGAACGCCGGUGGCGAAAGCGACUUGCUGGCUCGUAACUGACGCUGAGGCGCGAAAGCCAGGGGAGCAAACGGGAUUAGAUACCCCGGUAGUCCUGGCCCUAAACGAUGAGCACUUGGCUGUGGUCCGUCCACUGGAUCACAGCCG
rnacentral:rRNA from 1 species